GAUGAACGCUGACAGAAUGCUUAACACAUGCAAGUCAACUUGAAUUUGGGUUUUUUAACUUAGAUUUGGGUGGCGGACGGGUGAGUAACGCGUAAAGAACUUGCCUCACAGCUAGGGACAACAUUUGGAAACGAAUGCUAAUACCUGAUAUUAUGAUUAUAAGGCAUCUUAGCAUUAUGAAAGCUAUAUGCGCUGUGAGAGAGCUUUGCGUCCCAUUAGCUAGUUGGAGAGGUAACGGCUCACCAAGGCGAUGAUGGGUAGCCGGCCUGAGAGGGUGAACGGCCACAAGGGGACUGAGACACGGCCCUUACUCCUACGGGAGGCAGCAGUGGGGAAUAUUGGACAAUGGACCAAGAGUCUGAUCCAGCAAUUCUGUGUGCACGAUGACGUUUUUCGGAAUGUAAAGUGCUUUCAGUUGGGAAGAAAAAAGUGACGGUACCAACAGAAGAAGUGACGGCUAAAUACGUG
rnacentral:rRNA from 1 species